ensembl:lncRNA
GCAGAUUUCACUAUUUUUCUGUUUAUUAUUGCACCCAAAAUAAAUAUCUUUCGCAGUAUGUAAGAUAUGCAGGACAGUUUCAAGUUUUUCUUCAGUACAGAUGCUUCAUGUUGAACAUAGGAUUUAUUUUUUUCAGUUGAAAUCACAAAAUUCAAUACAGUGUUUUCAACUAUGUAUGGAAUGUACAGAAUGCAUUGAAACUGCAAAAAAAAAAAAAAACCCAACCAACAACAACAAAAAAAAAAACAACUUGUUGGAAAGAUGUAAAGAACUUGGGAAUAGUUGUUUGAAAUCAACAUCUAGGCUUUCAACUUCGAUUACCUGGGAUUACAACAAGGACAGUGAAAGCCUACAGACUCUGCAUCCAGAAUGUUGUAGAUGGGAAAAACUAUUUGAAGAACAUGAUGACUCUCAUCUUGUA